GAUGAACGCUGGCGGUGUGCCUAAUACAUGCAAGUCGUACGCAUUCUCGUUUCUGAUUGACGGUGCUUGCACCUAAUUGACGAGACAUUGGAAUGAGUGGCGGACGGGUGAGUAACACGUGGGUAACCUGCCCAGAAGCGGGGGAUAACAUUUGGAAACAGAUGCUAAUACCGCAUAAAAGUCAAAACCACAUGGUUUUGAUUUAAAAGAUGGCCUUUGUGCUAUCACUUCUGGAUGGACCCGCGGCGUAUUAGCUAGUUGGUAAGGUAAUGGCUUACCAAGGCAAUGAUACGUAGCCGAACUGAGAGGUUGAUCGGCCACAAUGGGACUGAGACACGGCCCAUACUCCUACGGGAGGCAGCAGUAGGGAAUCUUCCACAAUGGGCGCAAGCCUGAUGGAGCAACACCGCGUGAGUGAAGAAGGGUUUCGGCUCGUAAAACUCUGUUGUUAAAGAAGAACGUAUCUGAGAGUAACUGCUUAGGUAGUGACGGUAUUUAACCAGAAAGCCACGGCUAACUACGUGCCAGCAGCCGCAGUAC
rnacentral:rRNA from 1 species